AGAGUUUGAUCCUGGCUCAGGAUGAACGCUGACAGAAUGCUUAACACAUGCAAGUCAACUUGAACUUCGGUUUGGGUGGCGGACGGGUGAGUAACGCGUAAAGAACUUGCCUCACAGAUAGGGACAACAUUUGGAAACGAAUGCUAAUACCUGAUAUUAUGAUUUUAGGGCAUCCUAGAAUUAUGAAAGCUAUAUGCGCUGUGAGAGAGCUUUGCGUCCCAUUAGCUAGUUGGAGAGGUAACGGCUCACCAAGGCGAUGAUGGGUAGCCGGCCUGAGAGGGUGAUCGGCCACAAGGGGACUGAGAUACGGCCCUUACUCCUACGGGAGGCAGCAGUGGGGAAUAUUGGACAAUGGACCAAGAGUCUGAUCCAGCAAUUCUGUGUGCACGAUGAAGUUUUUCGGAAUGUAAAGUGCUUUCAGUUGGGAAGAAAAAAAUGACGGUACCAACAGAAGAAGUGACGGCUAAAUACGUGCCAGCAGCCGCGGUAAUACGUAUGUCACAAGCGUUAUCCGGAUUUAUUGGGCGUAAAGCGCGUCUAGGUGGUUAUAUAAGUCUGAUGUGAAAAUGCAGGGCUCAACUCUGUAUUGCGUUGGAAACUGUGUAACUAGAGUACUGGAGAGGUAAGCGGAACUACAAGUGUAGAGGUGAAAUUCGUAGAUAUUUGUAGGAAUGCCGAUGGGGAAGCCAGCUUACUGGACAGAUACUGACGCUGAAGCGCGAAAGCGUGGGUAGCAAACAGGAUUAGAUACCCUGGUAGUCCACGCCGUAAACGAUGAUUACUAGGUGUUGGGGGUCGAACCUCAGCGCCCAAGCAAACGCGAUAAGUAAUCCGCCUGGGGAGUACGUACGCAAGUAUGAAACUCAAAGGAAUUGACGGGGACCCGCACAAGCGGUGGAGCAUGUGGUUUAAUUCGA
rnacentral:rRNA from 1 species